UCUAGGACCUCAGUGUUCCAC
rnacentral:misc_RNA from 1 species